CCCCGGUUCCUCAGUGCAGCCCCAUGCUGACCUCAAGGAGGAGCAGAAAGGGGAGGGAAGAUCUCCCGUGAAAAUCUUGUCUUGAGAAGAAGGGGCAGGGAUUGCAAACGAUCGGCACCGUGGGAGACAGGGAGAUGGCUCGAUUGGCAGGAAUGAUAACCAACAUUGAUAGAAGGUGGUACCUUCCAGUAGGCACCACUCUGAGCACUUCUCAAGUGUUGGCGCAGUCCUGGUAACAGUCUUACGGUUCUGGGAAAGCUUUCUUCAGAGACUGUGUCUAUACCACCGACCAAACAGUAGAUGAGGGCUAUCAGGUCCCACGUGCUGCAGAUUCACAGACCCAAGCAGGCACCUGGGCGACAGAGUGCAGGGGCACUGCUGACCCCGUACCAAGUGCCUGACGCUCUUUCAGGUGUUGGGGUUUGAAAAAAGAAGGACCAAAUCAUCACCCUCACAACUGGAAGGUCAGGGAGCCAGGAGCAUGUAACGAGAGCGCUGGUGAAGGGACAAUUGUAAGACGUCUGAGGCAGUUGGUACUCAUUUUUCUUGGAGGCCAUUCCCCACAUUCAUAUCAAACACCCACAUCCCACAUUAAAUAAACAUG